UGGUGGAGUGAUUUGUCUGGUUAAUUCCGAUAACGAACGAGACCUUAACCUGCUAAAUAGCCCGGCCGACUUUGGUUAGCCGCUGGCUUCUUAGAGGGACUAUUGGCGUUUAGCUAAUGGAAGUUUGAGGCAAUAACA
rnacentral:rRNA from 1 species